rnacentral:ncRNA from 2 species
UAUAAUCUUCAGGGUAGGGUGUAAAUCCCGACCGGCGGUAAUUCGGUUAAUUCCGUUAGCCCGCGAGCGUUAAGCUGACUCUUGGUGAGAUUCCAGGGCCGACAGUAAAGUCUGGAUGAAAGAAGAUGAUU